AGUGCUGGUGUGAAACAGUCCGGCUUUACAACUGGUUCAGUGCGCCCUGUGAAUGGUUCCUCACUGUCAACAAACCUGCCAAGAAGGUGGACAAACGUUUGACACCGGCCGUGCGUCAGAAGGAGCUCCAGGCUGCGAAGGAUGAUUCCCGUGUCUUUCAGUGGAAGGCCCGGGAGGGAACCCUCUAUGGUAGAGAGUGGUGUGACCUGCAGAUCCAGUUUUCCCCCCUGGAAGAGAAGUCCUACAAAACCGAGCUGAAGAUCAACGUUCGUGGGAACAGCCAGCUCCUUGUGCUG